GUUUGACCAGAGUGUGUGAUCCUAUUUGUACAUCAUUCUCACAAUGUACUGGUAUACAGUUCUUAUCCUAACAGCAGCCUGCUGGGCAUUUUGCAAGGCCCAGCUCAGCCUGUCACAACCUCCCACAGAGUCUGUGUCUCUGGAACAAACAGUAAAACUGCCCUGCACCAUGAGUGGGGGCAGCAUCAGUGACAGGUAUGUGUACUGGUAUCAGCAGCGACCUGGGACUGCUCCAAGAUACCUUCUGAGAUAUAAAUCUGAUUCUAGCAAGCACCAAGGCACUGGGGUUCCAACACGGUUCUCUGGAUCUAAGGACAAUUCUCAGAACAUCUGCUAUUUAACCAUCUCUGGUGUCCAGGCAGAGGAUGAUGCAGAUUAUUACUGUAAAGUGUGGGACAGCAGUGCAGACGUACACAGUGAUACAGUUACAGGGGGAACUGAAACAGUAACUUUCUGCAUCACCACUUCUUUUUGCACAGCUGCACUCUACAUGGAGAUUUUUAUCAGAACAAAUAAAAUGUUAGCAUUCAAGUUACACUACAUAAUGAUAAAGAUUAAAGAAAUAUUUUGA